GGGUCAGUAGGUUGGUCGUGCCACCGGUACGUACUGGUCUCACUGAUUCCUCCUUCCAGAAGAACCGUAAUGCCAUUAAUUGGUGUUGCGGGGAAACAGGACUGUUACUUUGAAAAAAUUAGAGUGUUUAAAGCAAGCUAACGCUUGAAUACAUUAGCAUGGAAUAAUGAAAUAGGACGAUCGAUCCUAUUUUGUUGGUUUCUAGGAUUGACGUA
rnacentral:rRNA from 1 species